rnacentral:rRNA from 1 species
UCGAGGGGUAUUGGUUUUCGGACCAAGAGACCGGCGCACGGGUGCGUAACGCGUAUGCAAUCUACCUUUUACAGAGGGAUAGCCCAGAGAAAUUUGGAUUAAUACCUCAUAGUAUUACGACUCGGCAUCGAGAUGUAAUUAAAGUCACAACGGUAAAAGAUGAGCAUGCGUCCCAUUAGCUAGAUGGUAAGGUAACGGCUUACCAUGGCAACGAUGGGUAGGGGUCCUGAGAGGGAGAUCCCCCACACUGGUACUGAGACACGGACCAGACUCCUACGGGAGGCAGCAGUGAGGAAUAUUGGUCAAUGGGCGCAAGCCUGAACCAGCCAUGCCGCGUGCAGGAUGAAGCAUCUAUGGUGUGUAAACUGCUUUUGUACGAGAAGAAACACUCCUUCGUGUAGGAGCUUGACGGUAUCGUAAGAAUAAGGACCGGCUAACUCCGUGCCAGCAGCCGCGGUAAUACGGAGGGUCCAAGCGUUAUCCGGAAUCAUUGGGUUUAAAGGGUCCGUAGGCGGUUUAGUAAGUCAGUGGUGAAAGCCCAUCGCUCAACGGUGGAACAGCCAUUGAUACUGCUAGACUUGAAUUAUUAGGAAGUAACUAGAAUAUGUAGUGUAGCGGUGAAAUGCUUAGAGAUUACAUGGAAUACCAAUUGCGAAGGCAGGUUACUACUAAUGGAUUGACGCUGAUGGACGAAAGCGUGGGGAGCGAACA